UUAAGCGACUAAGCGUACACGGUGGAUGCCCUGGCAGUCAGAGGCGAUGAAGGACGUGCUAAUCUGCGAUAAGCGUCGGUGAGGUGAUAUGAACCGUUAUAACCGGCGAUUUCCGAAUGGGGAAACCCAGUGUGUUUCGACACACUAUCAUUAACUGAAUCCAUAGGUUAAUGAGGCGAACCGGGGGAACUGAAACAUCUAAGUACCCCGAGGAAAAGAAAUCAACCGAGAUUCCCCCAGUAGCGGCGAGCGAACGGGGAGGAGCCCAGAGCCUGAAUCAGUGUGUGUGUUAGUGGAAGCGUCUGGAAAGGCGCGCGAUACAGGGUGACAGCCCCGUACACAAAAAUGCACAUACUGUGAGCUCGAUGAGUAGGGCGGGACACGUGGUAUCCUGUCUGAAUAUGGGGGGACCAUCCUCCAAGGCUAAAUACUCCUGACUGACCGAUAGUGAACCAGUACCGUGAGGGAAAGGCGAAAAGAACCCCGGCGAGGGGAGUGAAAAAGAACCUGAAACCGUGUACGUACAAGCAGUGGGAGCCUCUUAAUGGGGUGACUGCGUACCUUUUGUAUAAUGGGUCAGCGACUUAUAUUCUGUAGCAAGGUUAACCGAAUAGGGGAGCCGAAGGGAAACCGAGUCUUAACUGGGCGUUAAGUUGCAGGGUAUAGACCCGAAACCCGGUGAUCUAGCCAUGGGCAGGUUGAAGGUUGGGUAACACUAACUGGAGGACCGAACCGACUAAUGUUGAAAAAUUAGCGGAUGACUUGUGGCUGGGGGUGAAAGGCCAAUCAAACCGGGAGAUAGCUGGUUCUCCCCGAAAGCUAUUUAGGUAGCGCCUCGUGAAUUCAUCUCCGGGGGUAGAGCACUGUUUCGGCAAGGGGGUCAUCCCGACUUACCAACCCGAUGCAAACUGCGAAUACCGGAGAAUGUUAUCACGGGAGACACACGGCGGGUGCUAACGUCCGUCGUGAAGAGGGAAACAACCCAGACCGCCAGCUAAGGUCCCAAAGUCAUGGUUAAGUGGGAAACGAUGUGGGAAGGCCCAGACAGCCAGGAUGUUGGCUUAGAAGCAGCCAUCAUUUAAAGAAAGCGUAAUAGCUCACUGGUCGAGUCGGCCUGCGCGGAAGAUGUAACGGGGCUAAACCAUGCACCGAAGCUGCGGCAGCGACGCUUAUGCGUUGUUGGGUAGGGGAGCGUUCUGUAAGCCUGUGAAGGUGGCCUGUGAGGGUUGCUGGAGGUAUCAGAAGUGCGAAUGCUGACAUAAGUAACGAUAAAGCGGGUGAAAAGCCCGCUCGCCGGAAGACCAAGGGUUCCUGUCCAACGUUAAUCGGGGCAGGGUGAGUCGACCCCUAAGGCGAGGCCGAAAGGCGUAGUCGAUGGGAAACAGGUUAAUAUUCCUGUACUUGGUGUUACUGCGAAGGGGGGACGGAGAAGGCUAUGUUGGCCGGGCGACGGUUGUCCCGGUUUAAGCGUGUAGGCUGGUUUUCCAGGCAAAUCCGGAAAAUCAAGGCUGAGGCGUGAUGACGAGGCACUACGGUGCUGAAGCGACAAAUGCCCUGCUUCCAGGAAAAGCCUCUAAGCAUCAGGUAACAUUAAAUCGUACCCCAAACCGACACAGGUGGUCAGGUAGAGAAUACCAAGGCGCUUGAGAGAACUCGGGUGAAGGAACUAGGCAAAAUGGUGCCGUAACUUCGGGAGAAGGCACGCUGAUAUGUAGGUGAAGCGACUUGCUCGUGGAGCUGAAAUCAGUCGAAGAUACCAGCUGGCUGCAACUGUUUAUUAAAAACACAGCACUGUGCAAACACGAAAGUGGACGUAUACGGUGUGACGCCUGCCCGGUGCCGGAAGGUUAAUUGAUGGGGUUAGCGGUAACGCGAAGCUCUUGAUCGAAGCCCCGGUAAACGGCGGCCGUAACUAUAACGGUCCUAAGGUAGCGAAAUUCCUUGUCGGGUAAGUUCCGACCUGCACGAAUGGCGUAAUGAUGGCCAGGCUGUCUCCACCCGAGACUCAGUGAAAUUGAACUCGCUGUGAAGAUGCAGUGUACCCGCGGCAAGACGGAAAGACCCCGUGAACCUUUACUAUAGCUUGACACUGAACAUUGAGCCUUGAUGUGUAGGAUAGGUGGGAGGCUUUGAAGUGUGGACGCCAGUCUGCAUGGAGCCGACCUUGAAAUACCACCCUUUAAUGUUUGAUGUUCUAACGUGGGCCCCUUACCGGGGUUGCGGACAGUGUCUGGUGGGUAGUUUGACUGGGGCGGUCUCCUCCCAAAGAGUAACG
rnacentral:rRNA from 1 species